UACGUAGGGUGCAAGCGUUGUCCGGAAUUAUUGGGCGUAAGGAGCUCGUAGGCGGUCUGUCGCGUCUGCUGUGAAAACUCAGGGCUUAACCCUGAGCUUGCAGUGGGUACGGGCAGACUAGAGUGCGGUAGGGGAGACUGGAAUUCCUGGUGUAGCGGUGAAAUGCGCAGAUAUCAGGAGGAACACCGGUGGCGAAGGCGGGUCUCUGGGCCGUAACUGACGCUGAGGAGCGAAAGCAUGGGGGAGCGAACAGG
rnacentral:rRNA from 1 species